GAUGAACGCUAGCGGCAGGCUUAAUACAUGCAAGUCGUGGGGCAGCAUGAAUGUAGCAAUACUUUGAUGGCGACCGGCAAACGGGUGCGGAACACGUACACAACCUUCCUUUAAGUGGGGAAUAGCCCAGAGAAAUUUGGAUUAAUACCCAGUAACACAACGAAGGGGCAUCACCUUGGUGUUAUAGUUUCGGCGCUUAAAGAUGGGUGUGCGGAUGAUUAGAUAGUUGGCGAGGUAACGGUUCACCAAGUCUCCGAUCAUUAGCUGAUGUGAGAGCAUGAUCAGCCACACGGGCACUGAGACACGGGCCCGACUCCUACGGGAGGCAGCAGUAAGGAAUAUUGGUCAAUGGACGCAAGUCUGAACCAGCCAUGCCGCGUGAAGGAUUAAGGUCCUCUGGAUUGUAAACUUCUUUUAUAUGGGACGAAAAAAGGUCUUUCUAGACCCCUUGACGGUACCAUAUGAAUAAGCACCGGCUAACUCCGUGCCAGCCGCCGCUGUAAUAC
rnacentral:rRNA from 1 species